rnacentral:rRNA from 1 species
GAGUUUGAUCGUGGCUCAGGACGAACGCUGGCGGCAUGCCUAAUACAUGCAAGUCGAGCGGAGUUGAUGGAGUGCUUGCACUCUUAAUACUCAGCGGCGGACGGGUGAGUAACACGUAGGUAACCUGCCUGUAAGACUGGGAUAACUACCGGAAACGGUAGCUAAUACCGGAUAAUACAUUUCCCCUCAUGAGGAGAUGUUGAAAGGCGGAGCAAUCUGUCACUUAUAGAUGGGCCUGCGGCGCAUUAGCUAGUUGGUGAGGUAACGGCUCACCAAGGCGACGAUGCGUAGCCGACCUGAGAGGGUGAACGGCCAUACUGGGACUGAGACACGGCCCAGACUCCUACGGGAGGCAGCAGUAGGGAAUCUUCCGCAAUGGACGCAAGUCUGACGGAGCAAUGCCGCGUGAGUGAUGAAGGUUUUCGGAUCGUAAAGCUCUGUUGCCAGGGAAGAAGAUUCAGGAGAGUAACUGCUCCUGGAGUGACGGUACCUGAGAAGAAAGCCCCGG